UUGGUUUCUCUGAGUUCCAACAGUCCUUC
rnacentral:piRNA from 1 species